GAUGAACGCUGGCGGCGUGCUUAACACAUGCAAGUCGAACGAGAGAAGAUCGGUGCUUGCACUGAUCCGAUCGAGUGGCGGACGGGUGAGUAACGCGUGGGUAACCUGCCUCAUACAGGGGAAUAACAGUUGGAAACGGCUGCUAAAACCGCAUAAGCGCACAGUAUCGCAUGAUACAGUGUGAAAAACUACGGUGGUAUGAGAUGGACCCGCGUCUGAUUAGCUAGUUGGUGAGGUAACGGCCCACCAAGGCAACGAUCAGUAGCCGGCCUGAGAGGGUAAACGGCCACAUUGGGACUGAGACACGGCCCAAACUCCUACGGGAGGCAGCAGUGGGGAAUAUUGCACAAUGGGGGAAACCCUGAUGCAGCGACGCCGCGUGAGUGAUGAAGUAUUUCGGUAUGUAAAGCUCUAUCAGCAGGGAAGAUAAUGACGGUACCUGACUAAGAAGCACCGGCUAAAUACGUGCCAGCAGCCGCGGUAA
rnacentral:rRNA from 1 species